CCUACGGGUGGCAGCAGUGAGGAAUAUUGGUCAAUGGACGAGAGUCUGAACCAGCCACGUAGCGUGAAGGAUGACUGCCCUAUGGUUUUUAACCUUCUUUUAUAAAGGAAUAAAACGAGACACGUCUGCCUUUUUGCAUGUACUUUAUGAAUACGGAUCGGCUAACUCCGUGCCAGCAGCCGCGGUAAUACGGAGUGUCCGAGCGUUAUCCGGAUUUAUUGGGGGUAAAGGGAGCGUAGAUGGGUUGUUAAGUCAGUUGUGAAAGUUCGCGGCUCAACCGUAAAAUUGCAAUUGAUACUGGCAGUCUUGAGUACAGUUGAGGUAGGCGGAAUUCGUGGUGUAGCGGUGAAAUGCGUAGAUAUCACGAAGAACACCGAUUGCGAAGGCAGCUUACUAAACUGUGACUGACAUUGAUGCUCGAAAGUGUGGGUAUCAAACAGGAUUAGAUACCCUAGUAGUC
rnacentral:rRNA from 1 species